rnacentral:rRNA from 1 species
UACGGAGGAUGCAAGCGUUAUCCGGAAUUAUUGGGCGUAAAGCGUCCGCAGGUGGUUUUGAAAGUUUGCUGUCAAAGCGCGGAGCUUAACUUCGUACCGGCAGUGAAAACUCCAAGACUAGAGUUUGGUAGGGGUCACGGGAAUUCCCAGUGUAGCGGUGAAAUGCGUAGAGAUGUGGAGGAACACCAAUGGCGAAGGCAGCCUCCUGGGCCAAUACUGACACUCAUGCACGAAAGCGUGGGGAGCAAACAGG